CAGCCUGAGCAGCACGCCGCGUGGGGGAUGAAGGCCUUCGGGUUGUAAACCCCUUUUAGCACGGAAGAAGCGAAAGUGACGGUACCUGCAGAAAAAGCGCCGGCUAACUACGUGCCAGCAGCCGCGGUAAUACGUAGGGCGCAAGCGUUGUCCGGAAUUAUUGGGCGUAAAGAGCUCGUAGGCGGUUUGUCGCGUCUGCUGUGAAAGUCCGAGGCUCAACCUCGGAUCUGCAGUGGGUACGGGCAGACUAGAGUGUGGUAGGGGAGACUGGAAUUCCUGGUGUAGCGGUGGAAUGCGCAGAUAUCAGGAGGAACACCAAUGGCGAAGGCAGGUCUCUGGGCCAUAACUGACGCUGAGGAGCGAAAGCGUGGGGAGCGAACAGGAUUAGAUACCCUGGUAGUCCACGCCGUAAACGGUGGGCACUAGAUGUGGGGCUCUUUCCAUGAGUUCCGCGUCGCAGCUAACGCAUUAAGUGCCCCGCCUGGGGAGUACGGCCGCAAGGCUAAAACUC
rnacentral:rRNA from 1 species